UAUACAUCCAAAGAUCAUAGAAAGAGGGGGGGGGGGGGAAGGAAGAGAGAAACAUACAAAACUUAAGAUAUAUCAAAUUAAGUGGUGUUUCACUUUUUUGAGAUCCAAACAAUACAAAUCGCAGAGAGUCCACAUCGUUCAAAACAUGCUCACUGCAAUAAUUAUGCAUCGAGUCAGCGUAUUCAAAGAUCACACAUGUCAAAUGAUAUAGUUUUCUUAAUGUAAAAGAAAUCAAAUCCCACUUAUUCCAAAUACAGUA